rnacentral:rRNA from 1 species
UACGAAGGGGGCAAGCGUUGUUCGGAUUUACUGGGCGUAAAGGGCGCGCAGGCGGUACUUCAAGUCGGGUGUGAAAGCCCCGGGCUCAACCUGGGAACUGCACUCGAGACUGAAGCACUAGAGUUCGGGAGAGGAUGGCGGAAUUCCCAGUGUAGAGGUGAAAUUCGUAGAUAUUGGGAAGAACACCGGUGGCGAAGGCGGCCAUCUGGACCGAGACUGACGCUGAGGCGCGAAAGCGUGGGGAGCAAACAGGAUUAGAAACCCCAGUAGUCC